rfam:Trichobilharzia regenti genome assembly, scaffold: TRE_scaffold0011417
GUGCUGCUGAAGAGUCCCAAACUAAAACGAAACAGACGUCCAGUAC